GCCUCGGUGGCUCAGUCGGUAGAGCGUCAGUCUCAUAAUCCUCCAAAGGGAGUAAUCUGAAGGUCGAGAGUUCGAGCCUCUCCCGGGGCA
rnacentral:tRNA from 1 species